UCCCGUUUAGCUCAGCUGGUAGAGCGCGUCACUAGUACGAUCGCACAAUGGAUUGUGGGAUGACGAGAUUAGUCGUUUAAGUCGGCUAACGGGAA